AGUUCGAACUUCUUUCUGCACCUGAACGCUGACAGGAGCUGCUGACCUUUGACAAGUGAAACUCUUCACCUGUGGAAAAAGUGCUAACUUGUUGAAAGGUGACAGACAUUAAAGAAAAGAUCUCUGCUGAACAUCUGGAAGUGAGAAAGCAGCUGUUGCAGUGAGGAAAAAAAUGGUCUCCAGUGGUUUCUGCCGUGAGGAACAACUGCUGACUUUAGGCAUCGUCCGUUUGCUGGAUGACCGCUAUGCUGCUCUGCCUCGGCCAGGACGCGUUCUUCAGAUGAUCGUGACCAACCUGAGGAACCGUCCUCUGAGCAGCACAAGUGUCGCCUCCAUGAGGGAGUCCAUCCUGAGCAUGUACCACCACCUCAUCACAGGCUCCAAGGACUUCCCUUUGAUUCCAUUCAAGGGGUCCUUACGGACACGUCAGACGGCCACACCCUUCGUCCCCGUGGACCAGGAGGAGAGGGAGAACACCACACCCUCUUUAACGGACGAACCAGCUGGUAUUUUGGUUCCCACUGCAGGCUUGAGCUCUUCAGCUCCUAAUAUACUGACUGCAGCUCAUCCUGAGAGGACGGAGCUGGGGGCCCUGAGGGCCGACCCCAGGAACUGUGUCCGACGGAUGGAGUUUGAUGGCGAGACUGUGACCAGAGUCAUCUCCACUGGGUCCCGCUUUGAAGGCACCGAGGUGACCAACCGCUGGAGAGUGAGUGACUACAGCGGAGACGGUCGCAUUCUCAUGUCCGUCCUCUGCCAGUUCACCAGAGAGUCCACGUAUUGUGCACGGACUCUGAGGAAGAAGAGGAAGGGCACUGAGGAAGAGAGCAGCACUCGACCAAAGAAACGCCUGAGAGUGUGACUGACUUUUUAUCGUCUUGCUGGCAGGGUGGCAUGAAAGACCUUUAGUUUUUACUCCUCAGGGCUGGCCUUUGCUUUUGGCAGGGCUUGUCAGGCCCCUGGUAGCGUCUUGCACCGGGGCCCCUGCACCAUAUGAAACAUGUGGUUGUCUGAGGGGUAAAUAUUGUAUAUAUGUAUAUAGUUUGUUCAUCAUGGAUGUAGCACACAGGCUCAGUGUUUUCAGUGCGUCUUGCACUGGUGCGUCUUGCACCUUUCUUUAUUUCUUAGAGCUGGCCUGUGUGUCUGACGUGGUGAAACUACGGGGAACUCGGGGAGUUCACAGGUUGCCACUUGCCACGCUUGCAAGACACAAGUCUGCCCUGCAGCCGGGGACAGCAAAAGGACUUUAGAUGAAUUUCUUCCGAGUCUUCCGUUAUGGAUGAAUGUGUUUUCUUGAGCGAGAAACACGUCCAGCUUUAUUGUUGCCGACUCAUCAACAGUUCAGAUCAAGCUGCAGAUUGCAGUGAGUGAGGAAAGAGACAUUACAGCUGCAGGGACAGAGUCAAACCUACAACACUACUGACCCACCAAUGACAGGCAGGACGAGCAGCAAGAACAGACUGACAGAAGAGGGAGAGGACAGAAACAGCUUGAUCGAAAGAAGGAAGAUAUUAAUUCCACCUGCACUUCUCUCCAAACCAACUGCAGCAACCAGCUGUGGACAAAGUAAUAAACACAGAGCUGUUUGUGAAGGAUGGAAACAAAAGAAGAAGACGAAAGGAGUGGAGACUCGCUGUGAACUCGCUCAUUUAAAAAGAGAGGAGAGGAAACAAGGACGACACUAGUCCAGACCAAGAUCCGACAAGAGAAGAGAGGAGACAGCAUGAACUGUGAACUCGCUCAUUUUAAAAGAGAGAGGAGAGGAAACGAGGACGAAGUCCAGACCAAGUCUAGACCAAGAGCCGACAAGAGAAGAGAGGAGACAGCCUGAACUGUGAACUCCAUCCAUCCAUCGUCAACCGCUUAUCCUGUGUACAGGGUCGUGGGGGCUGGAGCCAAUCCCAGCUGACAUCGGUGGCCAGUCCAUCGCAGGAACUCGCUCAUUUAAAAAGAGAGAGGAGAGGAAACGAGGACGAAGCAAGUCCAGACUGAGUCCAGACCAAGUCUAGACCAAGAUCAGACAAUGAGAAGAAAGGAGACAGCUUGAACUGUGAACUCGCUCACUGAAAAGAGAGAGAAGAGGAAACAAGGACAACACUAGUCCAGAUCAGGUCCAGACCAAGAUCCGACAAGAGAAGAGAGGAGACAGCCUGAACUGUGAACUCGCUCACUGAAAAGAGAGGAGAGGAAACAAGGACGACACUAGUCCAGAUCAAGAUCCGACAAGAGAAGAGAGGAGACAGCAUGAACUGUGAACUCGCUCAUUUUAAAAGAGAGAGGAGAGGAAACGAGGACGAAGUCCAGACCAAGUCUAGACCAAGAGCCGACAAGAGAAGAGAGGAGACAGCCUGAACUGUAAACUCGCUCACUGAAAAGAGAGGAGAGGAAACAAGGACGACACUAGUCCAGACCAAGAUCCGACAAGAGAAGAGAGGAGACAGCAUGAACUGUGAACUCGCUCAUUUUAAAAGAGAGAGGAGAGGAAACGAGGACGAAGCAAGUCCAGACUGAGUCCAGACCAAGUCUAGACCAAGAUCAGACAAUGAGAAGAAAGGAGACAGCCUGAACUGUGAACUCGCUCACUGAAAAGAGAGGAGAGGAGACGAGGACAACACUAGUCCAGACUGAGUCCAGACCAAGUUCCGACAAGAGAAAAGAGGAGACAGCCUGAACUGUGAACUCACUCACUGAAAAGAGAGGAGAGGAGACGAGGACAACACUAGUCCAGACUGAGUCCAGACCAAGAUCGACAAGAGAAGAGAGGAGACAGCCUGAACUGUGAACUCGCUCAUUUUAAAGGGAAAAUGCACAUUUAUUUGAUGUUAUCAGAAUUCCUACUAUGAUCAAUAGUUCUCCUCCUUCAGCCUUUUUGCUAAAGUUAUUAACUGUUAUUCUUUUUUCUGCAUUUGUCUUUCACUGAGAGGAGAGGAAACGAGGACGACACUACUCCAGACUGAGUCCAGAGUGAGUCCAGACCAAGACCAGACGACAUGAGACAAGGAGACCGCAUAAAUGAAAAGGAGGACGAGCGAGACGUCUCCUCAUCUGCAGCAGCAUCACAGACAGUUUAUUGUCUCGAACAUCUUCCUGUCUGUCAUCAAGAAGACCAAAAUCAACACUGAAUUUAUUCUUCUGACAUGUGGCUGUGUAGUCCCAUGAUGAACAUCAUUAAUGUUUGUGUUCAACCUGCUUUUUGUCCUUAAUAAAUAAAACAUAUUCACUGGACAA